AUGUGAAAUAUCUCCUUGCAGAAGGAGCUUUUAAACACAUUUUUUCAUAUCAGUCUUUUUGCUUUUGUUAACAGGCAUGGUUUUUGUGUCAGUCUUUUGUUACCAUGGCCAGUGUGUGCUCCUUGACACAGCCAAGAGCUCUCUGCCCAUGCUCCUGCCCUCUCAUGACUGUUGGAUGUGUUCACAUGUCAGGAUGUGAAUAAAUGAUGUUGGGGAUAAGGGUAAAACUCUGGGUACAGCUGACACAUCACCCUGCAGUAUCUUGGGCUGAACCUAGCCUCUGGUAAAAACUCAGCUCUAGGAGCCUGCUGUGCCUGUACAGUUGAGUAUGUCUUCCUCAGAUGUUUUCUGUCAUUUAUUUUAUUUCCUGCUCUAGUAAUGGCUUGUUUUAGCUUUUGACUCUGCUCCAGCACUGCUGAUCACCUGCAAACAUUAAAGAGCUGCAGCAAAACCCCUGCAUGGCACUAGGGUGAAUGGGGUCCUCCCAUCAAGGAGCUGAGCUUGGCUCCUCUCCUGCUCCUUAUCCAUUCCAGCUUUAAAGCAGGGACCUCUCCUUUUCCCAGGGGAGAAAGACAGCCUGCUCCUCAGAUGUGCAGCUUUCCGAGAUGAAGGCAGUGGGAAUUUGAGACACAGCAAACUUCCUUCUCUUCUAGCAUGCUUCCAAAUGAGUAGUUGGCUUGAGCUGAGUAGUAGUUGUGAGAUGGAGUGUGCCUACUCAAGACUUUGGACCAUGCUGCCUUGUGCUGUUUGUGAAAGCUUCUAAAAUCAAAAUGAAGCACUGAAACGUUAUUUCACAAAGCAGAACAUCAUCUCAUUUCACUUUGGGAGGUUUUGUCCGAGACACUUACUGUCCUCUGGGUAAUUCCUUGGGGCAAAACCUGAAUCACAGAAUCCCAAGGGUGUAGCCUUUACAACAUAUGAACUUCAUUUUAAGAUCUUCAGAUCUGUGUGUGUUUAAGUGAUGUUAGACAUGUUUCUUUCUACUAGAAAGUAAUUUACAAGGAGCUACCAUCUGGUGCUAUCUGGGGCACCACUUGUUUCCGGACUUAAUCUAAGGGAAAUGUGGUGUCUAAGCUACUCUUUUGCAGCAUCGUUUCCUGGCUCUUGGUUCAACAGUGGUAAUACCAAAUGGGUUGUCUUAAGAACCAAGGAGGACUCCUGCUGCUCUGCCCAAUCACUUCCCUCCAGGCAGCCUGGCAGAACUGCUGGGGGUAUUCAGAAGCUCUUGGUUUAGAUUUUAGUUUCUUAAUGGCAGUGUAGGGUUUGGGGGUGGGCGAUGCAAAGGUGGGAGGCUCCAGCCCUCACAUUUGGAUAUUCUUGUUAUGUAUAUAACAUGCAAACAAUUUCUUUCAAAGCAAACUACUGUCAUUUAGAAGCAAUGGGGCUUUUGCUUGUGUGCAAACAAUUAAGGAGGGGACCCUGUUUCUUUUCAGUCUCAGUGCUUCUAUAUGCCAUAUGCUGCCUCCAACCUUAUGGAGAUUUGAUGAUUUAUUUUCAAGGAGUGGUGUGUUUAAGCGUGCAGGUUAUCAAAGAUAUGUUACAUGUAUGAAAAUAUAUCGUCUUCUAAGCUGCCCUGGUUCUCACUAAUGGGCAGUAAGUAAAUGCACUUUCAGUAGAGCCUGUGGUUUGACAAAAUUAUCCAGUAGAACAAAGAUCAGCUUUCGGCUGGCUUGGGGUUUGAAAACAAACUGUAAAAUGGUGCAUAAAUUGGUACCAUGUGUAGCAUUUCCUGAAUCGGAUACAGCUUAUAAUGGCAACAGCUUUGGUAAGCUAGGAAAUAAGCAGAACUUAGCGUUUGGAUUCUGUCACUUGUUUCUGAUAGCUCUUUUGUAAAUAUUUGAAUAAGCAAGAAUACAAUGGGAUGAGCUUUAAGGUCCCUUCCAACCCAAACCAUUCUGUGAUUCCAUGAUUAUGCUUUCUAGUUAAGCCCAUUUCAUGUAAUGCUCAGCUGCAGAAUAAGCUUCAGCAGUGACCUGGUUUAGAAGACAAACACUUAAAAGUCAGUUCCAGUAAAUAUAGUUGUUGUCACCUGCUUCAGUAAGUACAGCUACACGGAGAAUUCCAUCCCAAGCAGUCCUAGAGGCUGAAGGGACUAAUGAGAACAACCAGAGCAGUCUGUGUAAUGCUUACUCUGCUCAGCAGCUUAUGAAACAGGAGUAAACGGGUGACCUGGCAUGAACCGUUCCCUGAGACAGCCUGUAAAAGCUCAUCUCGCUUCAUUACUGCUGACCUCUUUGUAAGUGAAAUGACUGCCUACAACUAAGAACUCUGCAGCAGCACUGCAAACCAAAGAACUAGUUAACCUGAUGUCACCCCUCGUAGAUACUCACUAGGAUUUUAAACAAGCACCUGCCUUAAAAGAAUAAUCAUCAUGUGAUUAAAUUAUUUAUACUUGAAGCCAACUUGCAGAUGCUUUCAUCUGCUAAAAAAUACAUGACCUCUGAGGGCUUCAGAGACUGAAAGUACAGAUUGCAUGUCUGAAGAUGUUUUGCAAAUCUUAAUCACAAUAAAAGAGAUGGUAAUAAACCAGCAUCCUUUUUAUUUCAAAAGACAUCCAGUUGCAAGUUGAAUACUGCUGUUGCCCAGUAGAGUCUCAUAGUCAGGGGCAGAUCAGGUUUUCCUGUGUUUAGAAGCAGAGUUGAGGCUCUUUGAAGCUGUAAGUAUCUCUUUUGUAAUGCUUUAGUCACACUGAGCUCAGGAGGCAUAAGGAUUCACAGCAGGUUUUUUGCUGCUGUUCUGAGCCUGGCUCUGGUAGACUUCAAGUGAACAGACACCUACCCCCUUAAUGCAGACCUCCACAUCCAGCUUUUGUCCCCCAAGACCGUGUCCAAGUUUGAAGUGUUUUUUCUUCAGGAGGAAGGAGAUUGUCUUGCAAAGUCCACUGGAGUAUGCAGUUGAUAAGUCAUCUCCUGGUGCUUGUUCCCUACCCUGCUGCUCUGUAUCCAGUUAGUUCCACAAGCCACUGGGAGAUGGGAUAUACAAGCCUAAACAGAUUCUGUUGUACAACAGUUUAACAUCAAAGGUGAUAUAAGAAGAGCUAUAUUUUCCAGGAGAAAUCUACUCUAACAGCUUGUUCACUUGAGUGACCUGAAAAAUUAUGGUCCAAUAAAGAGGGAAAUAAAAUGUGAAACAACCUGGUACAUCUGUCCUCCACCUCCCUCUGACUGCUUUCACAUGUUUCAGUGCAAGACAAAUAUGAAAGCUACAUUCAAAAUUAGGCCAAAUCAAGUAUAAAGACAGUAAACAUCAAUAGAGCUGGGGCAUCUGUUUGCAUCUGCCUUUAGGGUGGUAAGGACAAGUCAAAAAAGUGAGAGGAUUAGCCACAAUUACAGUUCUUCUUAUUUUAUGUCUUGCUUAAAAAACCAGAAAGAUGCAAAUCUGGCAAUGAAAAAUAUCUAAUAUUCAUAGCUAAAUUAAAAGUAACUAUCCUUUGGACAGAUUAUGUAUUUGGGAAAACACAAAGCAACUACUUCAGACACCUAGCUUAGGUAGAACGUUUCCUGUAGAGAAGAGAGGCGGCUGCCUCCAGAGAGCCUCUCCAGGCUAAAUCAUGUGUACUGAUGGGCAAAUAUUCCAAUGCAAGGUAACAAAGCUGGUACAGUCAAUAAUGUUAUCAAAAUUACUGCCAGUGGUAAGGCACAGAUAAAAUAAUUCCAUGCUUGGAAGGGCUCUGCCUACAUCACGUCUGUUCUCCAAAAGAAAGGUUUCUAAGGCUUUCAGCACAGCUAUUUGGCCAGUCUGAUUCACUACACUACAGCACCAGUACUGCGAUAGCACAGGUGUGUAUGAGUUCAUACAUACUCCUUCAGCAGUUUGCUGGUUUGUAAAAAUUAAUAUGGAAAAUUGUCCCGAGUACCUCCUUAAGAACUUGUUCUGGGCUGUGUUUAACUUAGUCCAACACACACCAUUAAAACCAUUGCUUACUAGAUACUGGUUAAAUACAUGUCAACUUGGAAAUGAAGCAUCAAAAGAGGAAUUAAAAAAUAAAAAAGAAUUUCUGUUCCAUUAUUAAUCACAAGUUUCUGAGAUUUGUUUUUGGUUAGCAAUUUUUACAGAAGGUGUAAAUGCAGAUACAGUGCCCCAACAGGCCUCGAGACCCAACAAAAGAGAAAUGUGAUCAAUAAACAUUGUAAAUGAGAUGAGACACAUGGAGGUCAAGCUUCUGUUACUAUGUGCAAGGGAGCGUUUAAAAAUUAACAGCAAGGAAAAGUAUUAGUACAAGUCUUCAUGUACAAGUUAGCAUGAUCUAGAAAACUAGGAGUUUUGUGAUUGCAGAUGUGAUACUUCGGAAAUAUCUGAAAUGCUUUUUGUUAUAGAAAUCUCUGUAACUUACACCAUUAUACAAUAGCAUAUUUAGAAAAAGUGCCAGUCCCUGAGCCAGCAGGUAAGAACCUAAAAGAUAUUUAUAUCUCUCUAAAAAUAUUUAAAAAUAAAAAUUAA